UCAAGUGAAGAAGCGCAUACGGUGGAUGCCUUGGCAGUCAGAGGCGAUGAAAGACGUGGUAGCCUGCGAAAAGCUUCGGGGAGUCGGCAAACAGACUUUGAUCCGGAGAUGUCUGAAUGGGGGAACCCAGCCAUCAUAAGAUGGUUAUCUUACGCUGAAUACAUAGGCGUAAGAGGCGAACCAGGGGAACUGAAACAUCUAAGUACCCUGAGGAAAAGAAAUCAACCGAGAUUCCCUUAGUAGUGGCGAGCGAACGGGGACUAGCCCUUAAGUGGCUUUGAGAUUAGCGGAACGCUCUGGAAAGUGCGGCCAUAGUGGGUGAUAGCCCUGUACGCGAAAAUCUCUUAGUCAUGAAAUCGAGUAGGACGGAGCACGAGAAACUUUGUCUGAAUAUGGGGGGACCAUCCUCCAAGGCUAAAUACUACUGACUGACCGAUAGUGAACUAGUACCGUGAGGGAAAGGCGAAAAGAACCCCGGAGAGGGGAGUGAAAUAGAUCCUGAAACCGUAUGCGUACAAGCAGUGGGAGCCCACUUUGUUGGGUGACUGCGUACCUUUUGUAUAAUGGGUCAGCGACUUAUUUUCAGUGGCGAGCUUAACCGAAUAGGGGAGGCGUAGCGAAAGCGAGUCUUAAUAGGGCGUCUAGUCGCUGGGAAUAGACCCGAAACCGGGCGAUCUAUCCAUGGGCAGGUUGAAGGUUGGGUAACACUAACUGGAGGACCGAACCGACUACCGUUGAAAAGUUAGCGGAUGACCUGUGGAUCGGAGUGAAAGGCUAAUCAAGCUCGGAGAUAGCUGGUUCUCCUCGAAAGCUAUUUAGGUAGCGCCUCAUGUAUCACUGUAGGGGGUAGAGCACUGUUUCGGCUAGGGGGUCAUCCCGACUUACCAAACCGAUGCAAACUCCGAAUACCUACAAGUGCCGAGCAUGGGAGACACACGGCGGGUGCUAACGUCCGUCGUGAAAAGGGAAACAACCCAGACCGUCAGCUAAGGUCCCAAAGUUAUGGUUAAGUGGGAAACGAUGUGGGAAGGCUUAGACAGCUAGGAGGUUGGCUUAGAAGCAGCCACCCUUUAAAGAAAGCGUAAUAGCUCACUAGUCGAGUCGGCCUGCGCGGAAGAUGUAACGGGGCUCAAACCAUACACCGAAGCUACGGGUAUCACGUAAGUGAUGCGGUAGAGGAGCGUUCUGUAAGCCUGUGAAGGUGAGUUGAGAAGCUUGCUGGAGGUAUCAGAAGUGCGAAUGCUGACAUGAGUAACGACAAUGGGUGUGAAAAACACCCACGCCGAAAGACCAAGGUUUCCUGCGCAACGUUAAUCGACGCAGGGUUAGUCGGUCCCUAAGGCGAGGCUGAAAAGCGUAGUCGAUGGAAAACAGGUUAAUAUUCCUGUACUUCUGGUUAUUGCGAUGGAGGGACGGAGAAGGCUAGGCCAGCUUGGCGUUGGUUGUCCAAGUUUAAGGUGGUAGGCUGGAAUCUUAGGUAAAUCCGGGAUUCUAAGGCCGAGAGCUGAUGACGAGUCAUCUUUUAGAUGACGAAGUGGUUGAUGCCAUGCUUCCAAGAAAAGCUUCUAAGCUUCAGGUAACCAGGAACCGUACCCCAAACCGACACAGGUGGUUGGGUAGAGAAUACCAAGGCGCUUGAGAGAACUCGGGUGAAGGAACUAGGCAAAAUGGCACCGUAACUUCGGGAGAAGGUGCGCCGGUGAGGGUGAAGGACUUGCUCCGUAAGCUCAUGCCGGUCGAAGAUACCAGGCCGCUGCGACUGUUUAUUAAAAACACAGCACUCUGCAAACACGAAAGUGGACGUAUAGGGUGUGACGCCUGCCCGGUGCCGGAAGGUUAAUUGAUGGGGUUAGCUAACGCGAAGCUCUUGAUCGAAGCCCCGGUAAACGGCGGCCGUAACUAUAACGGUCCUAAGGUAGCGAAAUUCCUUGUCGGGUAAGUUCCGACCUGCACGAAUGGCGUAACGAUGGCGGCGCUGUCUCCACCCGAGACUCAGUGAAAUUGAAAUCGCUGUGAAGAUGCAGUGUAUCCGCGGCUAGACGGAAAGACCCCGUGAACCUUUACUAUAGCUUUGCACUGGACUUUGAAUUUGCUUGUGUAGGAUAGGUGGGAGGCUUUGAAGCGUGGACGCCAGUCUGCGUGGAGCCAACCUUGAAAUACCACCCUGGCAACUUUGAGGUUCUAACUCAGGUCCGUUAUCCGGAUCGAGGACAGUGUAUGGUGGGUAGUUUGACUGGGGCGGUCUCCUCCUAAAGAGUAACGGAGGAGUACGAAGGUGCGCUCAGACCGGUCGGAAAUCGGUCGUAGAGUAUAAAGGCAAAAGCGCGCUUGACUGCGAGACAGACACGUCGAGCAGGUACGAAAGUAGGUCUUAGUGAUCCGGUGGUUCUGUAUGGAAGGGCCAUCGCUCAACGGAUAAAAGGUACUCCGGGGAUAACAGGCUGAUACCGCCCAAGAGUUCAUAUCGACGGCGGUGUUUGGCACCUCGAUGUCGGCUCAUCACAUCCUGGGGCUGAAGCCGGUCCCAAGGGUAUGGCUGUUCGCCAUUUAAAGUGGUACGCGAGCUGGGUUUAGAACGUCGUGAGACAGUUCGGUCCCUAUCUGCCGUGGACGUUUGAGAUUUGAGAGGGGCUGCUCCUAGUACGAGAGGACCGGAGUGGACGAACCUCUGGUGUUCCGGUUGUCACGCCAGUGGCAUUGCCGGGUAGCUAUGUUCGGAAUAGAUAACCGCUGAAAGCAUCUAAGCGGGAAACUAGCCUCAAGAUGAGAUCUCACUGGAACCUUGAGUUCCCUGAAGGGCCGUCGAAGACUACGACGUUGAUAGGUUGGGUGUGUAAGCGCUGUGAGGCGUUGAGCUAACCAAUACUAAUUGCCCGUGAGGCUUGACCAU
rnacentral:rRNA from 1 species